rnacentral:rRNA from 1 species
GGGAGGUAGUGACAAUAAAUAACGAUACAGGGUUCUUUAGGAUCUUGUAAUUGGAAUGAGUACAAUUUAAAUCUCUUAACGAGGAACAAUUGGAGGGCAAGUCUGGUGCCAGCAGCCGCGGUAAUUCCAGCUCCAAUAGCGUAUAUUAAAGUUGUUGCAGUUAAAAAGCUCGUAGUUGAAUUUCGGAAUCAAUGGAUCGGUCAUGCCAAUCGGUGUGUACUGGUUUGAUUGGUUCUCACCUUCUAAGGAACUCUGAUGCCAUUAAUUUGGUGUCAUAGGAAAUUAGGACUGUUACCUUGAAAAAAUUAGAGUGUUUAAAGCAAGCUCACGCUUGAAUACAUUAGCAUGGAAUAAUGAAAUAGGACAUUGUAUUCUAUUUUGUUGGUUUCUAGGAUCGAUGUAAUGAUUAAUAGGGAUAGUUGGG